UACGGAGGGUGCAAGCGUUUGUCCGGAUUUAUUGGGUUUAAAGGGUGCGUAGGUGGUUUUCUAAGUCUGGUUUGAAAGCAAGCGGCUUAACCGUUUGAUGUGGCUGGAAACUGGAGGACUUGAAUGGGUUGGCGGUAGCCGGAAUGGGUCAUGUAGCGGUGAAAUGCAUAGAUAUGACCCGGAACACCGAUUGCGAAGGCAGGCUACUACGACUUGAUUGACACUGAGGCACGAGAGCAUGGGUAGCGAACAGG
rnacentral:rRNA from 1 species